CACAUGCCCUACAGAACAUGGUUUGCUGGCCACCCUACUGGUGGCUUACCAGUGUUCAUAUGGCCCACUAUCUGACUCUGUUGACACUUUCCAGGCCACCAGGAAGCCAGGGCAGUGGCCUUGAGAGUUGCCCCAGUGAUGGUGGUCCAAGGCCCAAGAUCACCAGGACCCAAGCUCUUGUACUCUGUUGAAGAUCUGGCAUUCAUCUCAAGAGACCCCAACAACCGCUUUGAUCCAGAAAAAGAACCCUGGUAUGUACCAUCAGGAAAGAUGAUUCUACCACAAGAACAUGUGUGACAAUGAUAAGACAAAUGCAUCAAUGGACCUACCUAAGGAUAUCAAGUUAACUCAAACUGCCUUAAGAUCUAAGUAUUAUGUUCCAGGACUGAAACAACCUGGUGGAACAAAUAGUUCACAGUUGUAUUCCCUGCCAAAAGGUAAAUGCUUGCAGAAGCAAAGCUGACCCCAGUAAGAGACCUCAGGGAGAUAAGCCAGGAGCCUACUGGGAAGUGGAUUUCACCGAGAUAAAACCAGGCUAUAUAAGCCAGAGGAGUUGACAGGAACAGAAGCCAAUUACAAAUAAAAUUACUGAGAACAUAGUACCUAGAAGCCACAACUGUUGUCAUUUGGUUUCCUGGGAGGUCUGUGGCCAUAGCUAUUGCAGACCUCCUGUAAGGCCUUCAGACUCUGAUGUCUUCAGAGGGACAGACAAGCUGCUGUUUUGCUGCCCUGUUAUACUUCCUUUACUUCAUAUAAUGUAUACCAAAAGCAAGCACACAAAAAAGAAAAUACUCAAGUUUACAAACUAACAAGAACUUCUGUAUCAUAGAAACAAUAAUAAUAAAGGCGAUUUCAAAACACA
ensembl:lincRNA 1700022A22Rik RIKEN cDNA 1700022A22 gene